GCUGGGCACGGUGGCCCAUGCCUGUAAUCCCAACGACUCAGGAGGUUGAAGCAGGAGGAUCGCAGGUUCAAAGUCAGCCUCAGCAAUUUAGCAUAGGCCCUAAGCAACUUAAUGAGACCCUGUCUCAA
rnacentral:sRNA from 1 species